rnacentral:lncRNA from 1 species
CCUUUUUCGAGGAUCUUAAAGUUUAUCAUAUUCAAAUACAUCUGAAGUGUGACAUCUUACUUAAGAAACUAGUUGCUCUUUUUGAGAAAUAAAAUUUGCUAUAAAAUAUAACUUAUAAUGUUUUUCACAGGUUAUUUGUGAUAAUGACUAAAUAAUAAUUGUUCUUGAUUUAUGCAUGUUGUUAUAUAACAUUCUUAUUUUUUAUCUGUCAAUUUUUGUCUACUUCUCCAACAGUAAUGUCCUUUUUUUUUUAGUUGGCUGACCUUUAGUGAAAGUAUUCAAGAAUAGUGAAAAACAUGUUCCACAGUGAAUCAGAAGCUGACAUAUAACUAACAAGUUUAUGUGCCCUCUACAUCCUCCAGUGCUUGAUGCAUAAGUAUGUAGUGAUCAUUAAUCUCAGAAGAAAACAUGAAACUAUAAAGAGUAUCUCGGAACGUUUCCCAUGAUGCCUCAAAAGAAGAACACCUUUCUUAGCCUUGAACUUGUUUCUUUAAUACCUCAAAAAAGUGGAAAUUCAAUAAAUAGUCCUGUUGAACUUAGAAAUCAUUUAUUCAAGUGAUUUUCUUGUAAAUAAGUUACCUGUAUCCUUCAACAGGUUUGUAAAUCUUCUGACAAUGACAGCAGAUUUCAGAUAAAAACUUACUAUAUGAUGUGGUAUUAGAAAUAUGAUUGGGAUUACAAAGAGUUCCUUAAGUGAAAGUAUGAGUAAAAAUCAUUAGAGGACUAUGGCAGAAAAAAUUAANNNNNNNNNNAAAAUUAAAGAUGCAAAAAACAAAUUUUUGAAGUAAUUGGAAAGCAUGAUAAUAAAAUUGAAAUAGUUGUGAAUUGGAGGCAAAAUGAGUUCAAUGCUGUUAAGAAUUCUGUUGCAGACAAUGCAUCCAGCUGUUAAAGAAACUAAAAUAUUCUCUGUUGUUACAGAACUAAGAUUGUACACAAGAAGGUUGUAAAAUUACAAAGGGCAUAAAGUUUGAAAAUAUAACCUUUGGAGUUAAAGACACCGACACAAUGGCUCAGUUAUGGGAUCAACAGCUCACAACCUUGUUAUUUAAGUGCCUAAAUGUUUCAUCAGGAUUAAUGAUGGACAGCUAAGAACAUUUACCCAAAACAGCAGAGUCAUUAAGACUGCUAAUACUAACUCAGAAAAAUGCAUAGAUAAGCUUAAAGAAAUGUAAUAAUGUCAGGCUGUAAUAUCCCAGAAAACUCACCCAAAAGAAGCAUUUUCAUCAUUUGGUUAGUGAGGACAUAUGUGAUAGUCACCCAAGGCCUGAAGAAAGGAUUAUAGAAGAUCCUUAUUGAAGCCUUACUAGAAUGCAGGUAUAGAACCAGAAGGAAACCCUACUAAAACAUAGAUAUAAAAUCAGAAGGAACUCUAGUUAGAACACAGUUGUAGAACUAGAAGUAACUCUACUAGAACAUAAGUGUGGAACCAGAAGGAAAUCCUACUGAAACACAGUUAUGGAGGCAGAAGGAACUCUACUAGAACACAAGUGUAGAAUCAGAAAAAGAAUAUUAGUGCUUGUAGAAACAAAUUUUGAAACAGUGGUUUCUGAACUUCAGUGGAAAAGUUUAGAAGCUAUGUAGCACAACUUUAGGAAUACAAAGGUUGUCAACUUUACAUUGAAUCUGAAGUUUUACUGUGUAACAUGACAUAUUGGUGACAAUUAUAGUAGAAAACUGCACAUCACAUUAGUUUCAAAGUGUGAGAUAAAAAAAUUCAUUUAUUUAUAUGUUACUUGUCACAUUUGGAGAUAAAAGUUAAAGACUGCCAACAUAAACAAAAAAGACUCCACAAGUGUUUAGCCCCUCAAAUAACAAACAAAUGGAGCUACAAACACACUAAAUGCUGAAAAUUACAAAGUGGUAAGAAAGUAAACAAAAAAAAGUCUUGUGACAUUCACCAGAUUGAUGAAGGUGGUCUUACUGAAAUGGUGACCAGUUUUUUAUUUUAUUUUUUUAAAUUUAAAACUGUCAUAUUUCUAGUGUUCAGUAAUCACUUUAUUUGGUGUAAAAUGUAGUUUCAUGAUGUUAAGAUUAAGCCUAAACAGAAGCACAUAGUCAAGUAUCAAAUGUGUAAUAAAGUCAAACAAGAAGGCCAUCAUAGUUUACAAUUGCUCUCUUUAGACUAGGAACUGAGAUGUAUUGGUCUCCGAAGGAUUCACACACAUUUACCUACUGUAUGAUAACAGUGUAUAAAGGCAACUGGAUAUGCAUAUAAAACAAUAAACUGUUGAUAUUUUUAAUUGUGGGCUUAUAUUCUUUGUAACCCAAAACAGUUAGGUAAUUUUGUAACUCUUAAUUCUAGCCAUGAUACCUGAACAUUCUAUUAAAAAGAAAAUAAACAGUCGAUGUAUAUUGAAGGUUACAAAAUGUCAGCAAUGUCCUACCUUUCAAGCAGGAGGUAAAUUGUUCUUGUGUGUGUGUCUGGUAAAAAAUGGAAUUAUUCAUUUAUGUCCGACAGAAAGUAACUUUGUUGUUUGUGUAUCAUAUAGAAGGUAACUGUUGUUUGUGUGUCAUAUAGAAGGUAACUUUGUUGUUUGUGUAUCAUAUAGAAGAUAACUGUUGUUCGUGUGUCAUAUAGAAGGUAACUGUUGUUUGUGUAUAAUAUUGAACAUAACUGUUGUUCGUGUGUCAUAUAGAAGGUAACUGUUGUUUGUGUAUAAUAUUGAACAUAACUGUUGUUUGUGUAUCAUAUAGAAGGUAACUGUUGUUUGUGUGUCAUAUAGAAGGUAACUGUUGUUCGUGUGUCAUAUAGAAGGUAACUGUUGUUUGUGUAUAAUAUUGAACAUAACUGUUGUUUGUGUAUCAUAUAGAAGGUAACUGUUGUUUGUGUAUCAUAUAGAAGGUAACUGUUGUUUGUGUGUCAUAUAGAAGGUAACUGUUGUUUGUGUGUAAUAUUGAACAUAACUUUGUUGUUUGUGUAUCAUAUAGAAGGUAACUGUGUGUCAUAUAGAAGGUAAUUUUGUUGUUUGUGUAUCAUAUAAAAGGUAACUUUGUUAUACGUGUAUCAUAUAGAUGGUAACUAUUUUUUGUGGAUCGUAUAGAAGAUAACUGGUUUUUGUGUAUCAUAUACAAGGUAGCCGUUUUUGUGUAAUAUACAGAACCAUAUAGAAGGUAACUGUUUUUCGUGUAUCAUAGAGAAGGAACUUUUUGUGUUUCAUAAAGCGGAUAAUUGGUGUUU